GAGGUUAAACCGUGUUAUCUCCACAAAUGGCACAGGCUAGUCCUUCUACAAGCUCAUCUUCAACUGGACUUUCAUUUGCUAAGAUGGCUAGUGCUAGUGGCACUUGGCGUGUGCGUAAAACAGUAACACCCCCUCCACCAGCUCCAGCAAACGAAGAUGAAUCAUCUGGACCGCGCGCUUUAGUACUAAGUGAUGCUAUAGAAGCCGCGCUUUUGGCUACCAGCCCUACAUCAAAACCAUCAGGCAAAAAGAACAAAAAAUCCAAACAAAAGGUUCUUUUCGCAACUGGAAUGCAUCGUGCCCUUUAAAACUAUUUCCACCAGACAGAGCAAAUUGCACUUCGCUCUUUAAAAAAACAAAAUAAAAAAAAACAAUUUUAAUUUAAAAAACAUUUCGGUAAAACACACAAUUUUUGUUUAUUUUCACCAUUUUUAUAUUAAUAGUUUAUAACAUAUAAUAUGCAUUAUACGUAUCUUGCUUGUUGGUAUAUAUAUAUAUAUAUAUAUGUUUAUAAAAUACGCGCUAGUACCCAACAUACAAAGUUACUUAGUUUGCUCUCACAUUUCAUUGUACGACUGGGUUAAAGAGAAUAAAGUCAUUUAAUUACA